rnacentral:rRNA from 1 species
UACAGAGGGUGCAAGCGUUGUUCGGAAUUAUUGGGCGUAAAGGGCGCGUAGGCGGCUUAGCAAGUCAGAUGUGAAAUUUCGGGGCUUAACUCCGACCAUGCAUUUGAAACUGCUAGGCUUGAGUGCAGUAGAGGUUGGUGGAAUUCCCAGUGUAGAGGUGAAAUUCGUAGAUAUUGGGAGGAACACCAGUGGCGAAGGCGGCCAACUGGGCUGUAACUGACGCUGAGGCGCGAAAGCGUGGGUAGCAAACAGG